GAAGUCAGACCGUAAGGACUGGUGGAGCGCUUAGAAGUGAGAAUGCCGGUAUGAGUAGCGAAAGACAAGUGAGAAUCUUGUCCACCGAAUGCCUAAGGUUUCCUGAGGAAGGCUCGUCCGCUCAGGGUUAGUCGGGACCUAAGCCGAGGCUGAAAAGCGUAGGCGAUGGCCAACAGGUUGAUAUUCCUGUACCACCUCCCCGCCGUUUGAGUAAUGGGGGGACGCAGUAGGAUAGGGUAAGCGCGCUGCUGGAUAUGCGCGUUCAAGCAGUUAGGCUGAUGAGUAGGCAAAUCCGCUCAUCAU
rnacentral:rRNA from 1 species